UGAGGAAUAUUGGUCAAUGGACGCAAGUCUGAACCAGCCAAGUAGCGUGCAGGAUGACGGCCCUCCGGGUUGUAAACUGCUUUAGUUCGGGAAUAACGACGGGGACGUGUCCCCGGAACGAAUGUACCGAAAGAAUAAGGACCGGCUAAUUCCGUGCCAGCAGCCGCGGUAAUACGGAAGGUCCAGGCGUUAUCCGGAUUUAUUGGGUUUAAAGGGAGCGUAGGCGGACUGUUAAGUCAGCGGUUAAAGAGUGUGGCUCAACCAUACGAUGCCGUUGAAACUGGUGGUCUUGAGUGCACACAGGGAUGCUGGAACUCGUGGUGUAGCGGUGAAAUGCUUAGAUAUCACGAUGAACUCCGAUCGCGAAGGCAGGUGUCCGGAGUGUAACUGACGCUGAGGCUCGAAAGUGUGGGUAUCAAACAGGAUUAGAUACCCUGGUAGUCCACACAGUAAACGAUGAAUACUCGCAGUUUGCGAUACACAGUAAGCUGCCAAGCGAAAGCAUUAAGUAUUCCACCUGGGGAGUACGCCGGCNACGGUG
rnacentral:rRNA from 1 species